AGAGGAAGUAAAAGUCGUAACAAGGUUUCCGUAGGUGAACCUGCGGAAGGAUCAUUAGAGAAUACGAGAGCGGGCCGAAAGGCCUGUCUCUCAAAACCCACUCUAACACCCACUGUGAACUGAACCGGUCUAUGGGGACCCGGGAGUUUGAUGUGUGCUCUCUUCGGAGAACGGCGUCUCGCUCACAAACCCCCUCUUUUAAAGCACAAUCUGUCAUGGAUGUACAACACCUUUACGGGUGCCAAAAAUUAAUACAACUUUCAGCAACGGAUCUCUAGGCUCUCGCAUCGAUGAAGAACGCAGCGAAAUGCGAUACGUAAUGUGAAUUGCAGAAUUCAGUGAAUCAUCGAAUCUUUGAACGCACCUUGCGCUCCGGGGUAUUCCUCGGAGCAUGCCUGUUUGAGUGUCGUGGAAACUUCUCAACCCCGCUGGGAACCUUUGUGUUCUCUGGUUGUGGGCUUUGGAUCAUGACUGUCUGCCGGGACUUCCCCCUGGGGGGUUCGAGGCUCGGUCGAAAUUGAGAGAGUGGCUGAUUCCCCAUCCGGCCUGACUCGGCGUGAUAAGUCACAUUCGCCGAUUACGGAUGAGGGCCAAAGGCUGCUUCCAACC
rnacentral:rRNA from 1 species